UAUUACGGGAUUGUCAUGCAUGCCCAGUGUCAUCCGAUCUCAGAAGCUAAGCAGAAUCAGGCCUGGUUAGCUCUUGGAUCGUAGACCAGGUGCUGUAAGUU
rnacentral:rRNA from 1 species